UACGAAGGGGGCUAGCGUUGCUCGGAAUCACUGGGCGUAAAGCGCACGUAGGCGGCUUGCUAAGUCAGGGGUGAAAUCCUGGAGCUCAACUCCAGAACUGCCUUCGAUACUGAGAGUCUCGAGUCCGAGAGAGGUGAGUGGAACUGCGAGUGUAGAGGUGAAAUUCGUAGAUAUUCGCAAGAACACCAGUGGCGAAGGCGGCUCACUGGCUCGGUACUGACGCUGAGGUGCGAAAGCGUGGGGAGCAAACAGGG
rnacentral:rRNA from 1 species